GGGGGCUACACAUGCAGUCGACGGUAACAGGAGGAAGCUUGCUUUCUUGCUGACGAGUGGCGCACGGGUGAGUAAUGCAUAGGUAACGUGCCCCUUAGUCUGGGAUAGCCACUGGAAACGGUGAUUAAUACUAGAUACGCCUUCUUUCUUAAUGAGAGUCGGGAAAGUUUUUCGCUAAGGGAUCGGCCUAUGUUGUAUCAGGUAGUUGGUGAGGUAAUGGCUCACCAAGCCUAUGACACAUAGCGGGUCUGAGAGGAUGAUCCGCCACACUGGUACUGAGACACGGACCAGGCUCCUACGGGAGGCAGCAGUGGGGAAUAUUGCACAAUGGACGAAAGUCUGAUGCAGCAACGCCGCGUGGAGGAUGACACAUUUCGGUGCGUAAACUCCUUUUAUAUAGGAAGAUAAUGACGGUAUUAUAUGAAUAAGCACCGGCUAACUCCGUGCCAGCAGCCGCGGUAAUACGGAGGGUGCAAGCGUUAUUCGGAAUCACUGGGCGUAAAGGGUGCGUAGGCGGUUUGGAAAGUCUGAUGUGAAAGCCUACAGCUUAACUGUAGAACUGCAUUGGAAACUUCCAGACUAGAAUACUGAAGGGGCAGAUGGAAUUAGUGGUGUAGGGGUAAAAUCCGUAGAUAUCACUAGGAAUACCGAAAGCGAAAGCGAUCUGCUGGGAAGUUAUUGACGCUGAGGCACGAAAGCGUGGGGAGCAAACGGGAUUAGAUACCCCGGUAGUCCACGCCCUAAACGAUGAAUGCUAGUCGUCGGAAAGCUCGUCUUUUCGGUGAUG
rnacentral:rRNA from 1 species